rnacentral:rRNA from 1 species
UAGGGAAUCUUCCGCAAUGGGCGAAAGCCUGACGGAGCAACGCCGCGUGAGUGAUGAAGGUCUUCGGAUCGUAAAACUCUGUUAUUAGGGAAGAACAAAUGUGUAAGUAACUAUGCACGUCUUGACGGUACCUAAUCAGAAAGCCACGGCUAACUACGUGCUAGCAGCCGCGGUAAUACGUAGGUGGCAAGCGUUAUCCGGAAUUAUUGGGCGUAAAGCGCGCGUAGGCGGUUUUUUAAGUCUGAUGUGAAAGCCCACGGCUCAACCGUGGAGGGUCAUUGGAAACUGGAAAACUUGAGUGCAGAAGAGGAAAGUGGAAUUCCAUGUGUAGCGGUGAAAUGCGCAGAGAUAUGGAGGAACACCAGUGGCGAAGGCGACUUUCUGGUCUGUAACUGACGCUGAUGUGCGAAAGCGUGGGGAUCAAACAGG